UGCAUCAGUCAGUCUAAAGCAUCAGGAUGAUCCUGCAGAUUCCGCUUCUCUGGCUGUUCAUGCUCUGGAUGCAGGGCUCCAGCGGGGAGAUCCUCAUCACUCAGACUCCAGAGUCCCUGGCCAUGUCCCCAGGAGACACAGUCACCAUCAAGUGCAAAGCCAGUGCCAGCAUUAGCAGCAGCAUGCACUUUUAUCAGCAGAAAUCAGGGCAGACUCCUAAGCUCCUUAUCAAAUAUGCUUCCACUCGUAUCUCUGGUGUUCCAGACCGGUUCAGCGGCAGUGGGUCUGGGACAGACUUCACAUUCACAGUCAGUCAAGUUGAAGCAGAAGACGCUGGUGAUUACUAUUGCCAGCAAAGCAGAAGCUAUCCUCUCACAGUGCUACAGCCCAAUACAAAAACCUCCCUGCUCUGUUCAGUUCUGCUGCUCCCAGCACCAGCUGCUUCCUGCACAGUCUGCUGA